UACGUAGGGUGCAAGCGUUAAUCGGAAUUACUGGGCGUAAAGCGUGCGCAGGCGGUUUUGUAAGACAGAGGUGAAAUCCCCGGGCUCAACCUGGGAACUGCCUUUGUGACUGCAAGGCUGGAGUGCGGCAGAGGGGGAUGGAAUUCCGCGUGUAGCAGUGAAAUGCGUAGAUAUGCGGAGGAACACCGAUGGCGAAGGCAAUCCCCUGGGCCUGCACUGACGCUCAUGCACGAAAGCGUGGGGAGCAAACAGGAUUAGAUACCCCGGUAGUCC
rnacentral:rRNA from 1 species